rnacentral:rRNA from 1 species
GAUGAACGCUGGCGGCGUGCCUAAUACAUGCAAGUAGAACGCUGAAGGAAGGAGCUUGCUCUUUCCGGAUGAGUUGCGAACGGGUGAGUAACGCGUAGGUAACCUGCCUGGUAGCGGGGGAUAACUAUUGGAAACGAUAGCUAAUACCGCAUAACAGUAGAUGUUGCAUGAUAUCUACUUAAAAGGUGCAAUUGCACCACCACCAGAUGGACCUGCGUUGUAUUAGCUAGUUGGUGAGGUAACGGCUCACCAAGGCGACGAUACAUAGCCGACCUGAGAGGGUGAUCGGCCACACUGGGAGUGAGACACGGCCCAGACUCCUUCGGGAGGCAGCAGUAGGGAAUCUUCGGCAAUGGACGGAAGUCUGACCGAGCAACGCCGCGUGAGUGAAGAAGGUUUUCGGAUCGUAAAGCUCUGUUGUAAGAGAAGAACGAGUGUGAGAGUGGAAAGUUCACACUGUGACGGUAUCUUACCAGAAAGGGACGGCUAACUACGUG